CCAAGGCAGUGUUUGGUGUUUCGAUCAGACGUUCCUUGGACAAUAUGAAAUCAGGGAAUAUCA
rnacentral:sRNA from 13 species